rnacentral:rRNA from 1 species
UACGCAGGGGGCUAGCGUUGUUCGGAAUUACUGGGCGUAAAGCGCACGUAGGCGGACAUUUAAGUCAGGGGUGAAAUCCCGGGGCUCAACCCCGGAACUGCCUUUGAUACUGGGUGUCUGGAGUCCGGAAGAGGUGAGUGGAAUUCCGAGUGUAGAGGUGAAAUUCGUAGAUAUUCGGAGGAACACCAGUGGCGAAGGCGGCUCACUGGUCCGGUACUGACGCUGAGGUGCGAAAGCGUGGGGAGCAAACAGG